AAGUCGAGGGGUAGAAUGUCUUCGGAUGUUUGAGACCGGCGCACGGGUGCGUAACGCGUAUGCAACCUACCUCUUACUGGGGAAUAGCCCGAAGAAAUUCGGAUUAAUGCCCCAUAUGCUCGUACGGCCUCAUGGUCGAGCGAAGGAAAGCUCCGGCGGUAAGAGAUGGGCAUGCGUCCUAUUAGCUUGUUGGUGGGGUAAUGGCUCACCAAGGCUACGAUAGGGUAGGGGCCUGAGAGGGUGACCCCCCACACUGGUACUGAGACACGGACCAGACUCC
rnacentral:rRNA from 1 species